rnacentral:misc_RNA from 1 species
AGGAAAUGUGAGCUUCUGAUUCUUUCUUGUUUUCUUAGGAUCAUUGAGAAAUUCAUGAACAUGGGUGAAGAUUUAUCUGGAAAGUGUUUUGUAUAAUAACAUGUCAUUCUUAAGUUGUUCAUUUUUUGAUGGUUCAUAUUAUACACGGCAAGUUUAAGGCGUUAAUCAAAAGUGAUUGGUUUAUGAUUGAGAGGGUGUGUUUAAAGUCCUCUGCUACUGUUGGUCUGAGAUUCUUUUUUGUUUUUUUUUAAUAUACUUUAAUUG